UGGCUCAGAACGAACGCUGGCGGCAGGCCUAACACAUGCAAGUCGAGCGCACCUUCGGGUGAGCGGCGGACGGGUUAGUAACGCGUGGGAAUAUACCCUCCUCUACGGAAUAGCCUCGGGAAACUGAGAGUAAUACCGUAUACGCCCUUCGGGGGAAAGAUUUAUCGGAGGAGGAUUAGCCCGCGUAAGAUUAGAUAGUUGGUGGGGUAAUGGCCUACCAAGUCUACGAUCUUUAGCUGGUUUGAGAGGAUGAUCAGCAACACUGGGACUGAGACACGGCCCAGACUCCUACGGGAGGCAGCAGUGGGGAAUCUUAGACAAUGGGCGCAAGCCUGAUCUAGCCAUGCCGCGUGAGUGACGAAGGCCUUAGGGUCGUAAAGCUCUUUCGCCAGAGAUGAUAAUGACAGUAUCUGGUAAAGAAACCCCGGCUAACUCCGUGCCAGCAGCCGCGGUAAUA
rnacentral:rRNA from 1 species